rnacentral:rRNA from 1 species
UCGGAUGGAGAGCGGCGGACGGGUGAGUAACGCGUGAGCAAUCUGUCUCAGACAGGGGGAUAACGCAGCGAAAGUUGCACUAAUACCGCAUAAGACCACAGAGCCACAUGGCAUAGGGGGUCAAAGGAGCAAUCCGGUCUGAGGUGAGCUCGCGUCCCAUUAGGUAGUUGGUGAGGUAACGGCCCACCAAGCCUGCGAUGGGUAGCCGACCUGAGAGGGUGAUCGGCCACACUGGAACUGAGACACGGUCCAGACUCC